rnacentral:lncRNA from 1 species
CUCGCCUUCCUCUUCUUCUUCUUCUUCUUUUUUUUUUCUUUAAAUCCUGCCAGACCAGCUUUUCAGAUGUCGGCUUUCCUCCUCUCCGAGCCCAGCUCCAGGCUGCCUUGCUGUCAGCUUUUCUAACAUUAGAAAAAUAUUGCCAUCCCUUGGGCUAAGAGGAUGGUGGGACCACAUGAUGGAAAGAUCCUAAGUCCCUGAUUGACUACUUGGAGCAGAACAGUUUGGCCCGACACCACCAAUCUGAACUGACCUGUGAUGGAAGAGGAGGUGGUUCACAAGAUUCAUCUCUUGGUCUAAGGGUUCAUGGUCAAAGAAAUAUUGCAAACCAUGGUUCCAAGGAGAAAAAGCCAGCAUCGAUCUCAGUGGGACCUUCCUUGGAGCCAGGAACUGGAAGCAAUGCCCCAGUGUGUGUCCUAAAUCUUUGGGAUUCAAAACUGAUUUUGAGUUCCUCACUGACAAACAGAGCUUUCCACAGAAAUAUCAACACUGUGCCUCAGCAGAAGCCCUGCCUCAGGCAGCUUCUGCCCCAGGACUACAGGUUAUCUGGGUUAGCAGGCCCAGUCCUUAGCAGAAGGAUUAGGGAAGGCAGAUCUCACUGUAAAAGUGUCAGUAGGAAGUGGAUCACUUUUGAACUUCUGUCCCUGGAGGUUUACAAGGGUAACAGGAAGCUACAAUUUCCAGGAAGAUGACAGCUGUUUGGAAGCAUUUCUGCCAUUGCACUUUUAACCCAACCCACCAGAGUCACUCAGCAUAAAACAGGCUUGACAGCAAGGCAACUUGUGGGCAAGGCCUGUGAGAAAACCCUUCAUUUACUCCUGUUUGUCAAGUCUUGCCUAGCAGGCCCUGCCAUCACAGACACCAGCUGAGGUGAGGUAGGAAGGCAGAAAUGCCAGUGAUGAAAGUGAGGUUUCCAGGCAGAUCCUUUGAUGCAUAGAAAUAGUUGUGGUGGAGGCUGGUGUGGUGGUCAGUGGCGUGUUUUGCAUAAUGAUACUCUUUGAUAAAGAGAGACGGAGUCCUGUGUGCAUUAGUCAGGAUUAGGACUGUCUGUGAGUAACAGAAAAAUGGAAGACAACAGUGGCUUCAACAUGACAGAAGUUUCUCUCUCUCACAUAAACCCAAUCUGGAGUCCAGCAGCCCAAGACUGGUUGGGUAACCCCGUGCUCGGCAGGGAACCAGCUUUACCCUCACUUGUUUCUCCACCAAACCCAAGGAACUACUUCGUGAUCCAGGAUGGCUCCCCAAUCUCCAGCCUGGAGGAAGAGAAAAAGAGGAAGAAAGGAGCCCCUUUAUAUUAAUGACACUCCCGCAGAGGCCUCAUGUCACGGUUCUGUUUGCAUGCUGUUUUUCAGAACAUACUGAUUACAGCUAAUGUUGACAUGGUUGGAAUCUUCUAGUCUUACACUCGGUCAUCUAAGUGUCUGGUGAAACACUGGGGAUCCUGUUCUAUCUACAUGUGGACAGCUAGAGGUCUCUCAACACUGUCCUUAGGAAAGAUGGAAUGUUUUGAUGUUGUUUUGAUAAUUCCAGAGACCUUAGCAAACCUGAUCUGCCUUUAUUGUUUAGGUGAUUUAGUUGUUCCUCCCCUGCCACGGAGAGCAGCUUCAUAGAGAGAGUAUCCUUAAUUUUUGUUAGGAGGACAUGAGAAGCAAGAUGUCUUCAUUUACUCAUUUACUCAUUCAUGUAGUCACUCACUCAUUCAUGUGUCAGUACUGUCAUGUUGGAUAUGGUUUGCUGUUCAUCACAUUUAUGCUUCCUGUCCAAAGUGUAGAGUUAUUUCUGGAAAGUAGUUGUCCUACUAGAGGCAAGGUUUCUCUGCCUCUACCAUCGAGGUGGGCUCGUAUGACCAGCUUCUGCCAAUGGGAUGUGAAUAGAGGAGAUGCGUCCCUUCUGGGAGGAGGUGCUUAAAAAAUAGGCAAACUGUCUUUAACACUUAUUUUCCUGUCUGCCUCUGGGGGCAGGAGACCCUGAGAUCUAGCAGUUGGCAGAGACACAGGUAGAAGUUGCUUGGGCUCCAGAAUCACACCAGGAAAGACUGCCCACCAAAUAUCCAUACUGGACUAUUGCAUUGAUGAAGGAUCAACUAUCAGCUAAGGCUUGGUACGAGGGUAUGCAGCAGGUCACCUGCUUUCCUGUGACGGUGGUUAGCUCAGCUCCCACAUCAGAACUAGAUUCAAAUGCCAUGUGCAGCACUUACUAGCUGUGAGAUUGAGAGUUCAGGUAAUUUCUCUUAAUCUCUAAUAACCUCUCUUUUCUCAUUUAUAAAAUGUGACUUACAUACUACAUACAAUGUGUGUGUGUGUGUGUGUGUGUGUGUGUGUGUGUGUGUGUGUGUGAUGCUGGCACCAAGUAAAUGCUUCAAAUAUUAAUUCUUAUUCUUAUAAUCACAUACUAUUGGGCUACUCCUUUUCUGUUUAUUAGGGUAGCUUUUGCUCAUUUGGAAUAAUCAAAAAGUUUCAGCUUAUUUACUUAGUUCUUCUCUUGUGCCCUCAACUUGUGGGUCUCUUUCUCUCUGCUAAAUGGUCAUCAAUGAUUCUGUAGAGCAGAUGUCUCCUUCCCCACCACUUUGUGGUAGGCAGAAGGCCCCUGAAGAUGUCCCUGUCCUAAUCUCUGGAGACUGUCAAUAUGCUACUUUACAUGGCAGAAGGAAUUUUGCAGCUGUGAUUAGAUUAAGGCCCUCUAGUUGGGGAGAUAAUCCUAGAUUACCUAAGUGGGCCCAAUGUAAUCAGGAGUGUCUUUAAAGAUGGGAGAGGGGGCAGCCCUGGUGGCACAGCGGUUUAGUGCCACCUGCAGCCCGGGGUGUGAUCCUGGAGACCUGGGAUGGAGUUCCACAUCAGGUUCCCUGCAUGGAGCCUGCUUCUCUCUCUUGCCUGUGUCUCUGCCU